rnacentral:rRNA from 1 species
AGCGAACGCUGGCGGCAGGCCUAACACAUGCAAGUCGAACGAAGUCUUCGGACUUAGUGGCGGACGGGUGAGUAACACGUGGGAACGUGCCUUUAGGUUCGGAAUAACUCAGGGAAACUUGUGCUAAUACCGAAUGUGCCCUUCGGGGGAAAGAUUUAUCUCCUUUAGAGCGGCCCGCGUCUGAUUAGCUAGUUGGUGAGGUAAUGGCUCACCAAGGCUACGAUCAGUAGCUGGUCUGAGAGGAUGACCAGCCACAUUGGGACUGAGACACGGCCCAAACUCCUACGGGAGGCAGCAGUGGGGUAUCUUGCGCAAUGGGCGAAAGCCUGACGCAGCCAUGCCGCGUGGAUGAUGAAGGUCUUAGGAUUGUAAAAUCCUUUCACCGGUGAAGAUAAUGACUGUAGCCGGAGAAGAAGCCCCGGCUAACUUCGUGCCAGCCGCCGCGGUAACAC